rnacentral:rRNA from 1 species
UACGAAGGGGGCUAGCGUUGCUCGGAAUCACUGGGCGUAAAGCGCACGUAGGCGGAUUGCUAAGUCAGGGGUGAAAUCCUGGAGCUCAACUCCAGAACUGCCUUUGAUACUGGCGAUCUCGAGUCCGGGAGAGGUGAGUGGAACUGCGAGUGUAGAGGUGAAAUUCGUAGAUAUUCGCAAGAACCCCAGUGGCGAAGGCGGCUCACUGGCCCGGUACUGACGCUGAGGUGCGAAAGCGUGGGGAGCAAACAGG